GUCUUUGCCCAGCUCUGGGUUUGUACCUGCCCUUCUGCCCACAGCGAUGGUGUCAUUUUGACCUUGAUCUGGGAAUUGCUGUUCUUGUCAGCCUGUUGGCUCCCUCUGUUGAGGGAGACAGCUCUUUUGAGUGUCCAGGAGAUGGAAGUACAAAGGUGGACAAAUAUCUACACUCGGAAGGCAGACAAUAGUACCCCCCAAUUUCUGUUUGCACAUAGGUAACUUGGAUUCAUCAUAUGCUUUUUCUCCUGGACAAUCAGUCAACACAAUUAUUCAGUACCUCAUCUGUAAACUGCACUGUGUCAUCGCUGUGGUUAGUGCUAAAGAAAUGUGAAGUAUGUCCUUU
rnacentral:lncRNA from 1 species